rnacentral:tRNA from 1 species
AAUAAGAUGGCUGAUAUUAUAGGCGGUAAAUUGUAGCUUUAUUAAUGGAAAGGUAAAUUCCUCUUAUUA